CGCGGCCUAUCAGCUUGUUGGUGGGGUAAUGGCCUACCAAGGCGACGACGGGUAGCCGGCCUGAGAGGGCGACCGGCCACACUGGGACUGAGACACGGCCCAGACUCCUACGGGAGGCAGCAGUGGGGAAUAUUGCACAAUGGGCGAAAGCCUGAUGCAGCGACGCCGCGUGAGGGAUGACGGCCUUCGGGUUGUAAACCUCUUUCAGCAGGGAAGAAGCGCAAGUGACGGUACCUGCAGAAGAAGCACCGGCUAACUACGUGCCAGCAGCCGCGGUAAUACGUAGGGUGCGAGCGUUGUCCGGAAUUAUUGGGCGUAAAGAGCUCGUAGGCGGCCUGUCGCGUCGGAUGUGAAAGCCCGGGGCUCAACCCCGGGUCUGCAUUCGAUACGGGCAGGCUAGAGUUCGGUAGGGGAGAUCGGAAUUCCUGGUGUAGCGGUGAAAUGCGCAGAUAUCAGGAGGAACACCGGUGGCGAAGGCGGAUCUCUGGGCCGAUACUGACGCUGAGGAGCGAAAGCGUGGGGAGCGAACAGGAUUAGAUACCCUGGUAGUCCACGCCGUAAACGUUGGGAACUAGGUGUGGGCGACAUUCCACGUCGUCCGUGCCGCAGCUAACGCAUUAAGUUCCCCGCCUGGGGAGUACGG
rnacentral:rRNA from 1 species